rnacentral:misc_RNA from 1 species
AAAGACCCUCCAUUUCCUUUCUUCUCUGACCCAAACCCACCAGCAAACAACCCCAAACUCACGUGAAAAAACCAUUCAUUUUAUGACCAAAUAAACCCCCACCGGUCCUCAAAACCAGAACCAAACAAAAUCCAUCUUCACUUUCUCUUUUCCGGCAUCAAAUCCGUGACCGCCGAGCUCCACCGACGAGGUCCAUUUCAAUCGAUUGGAGCAGCAAACUCCAUCUCCCUCUUAUCUCAUGCUAGAAUCAUAAGAACCAGACCAAAAACCUUCCUGUUUCCUCACUUUCAGUUGAAAUAAUCACCGGAAAUAACACCUACGCGCUGCCAGUCCCAUUCCCUUUUUACCCUCGUGAUUUUUUCUUGUU